CACGGAUGAGAAGAUGAGCGAUGCGGACCCUGCUUCGGUGGAAGCAAUGUACUCUGCUGCUAGCCAGUGUCUGCAUGAGAAGAAAAACAGACGGCCAGACAUUGCAAAGGUUCAACAGCUGCUACAAGAGAUGUCUGCUUAAAACUAAUAAACUUUUUUUUUUUUUUUUUUACUUCUCGAGAACCUGGAGACCGGAAAAGCACUUUGACACUGAGCUGCGUCACCUACCUGUUGUUUGCAUUUGUUUUUGUUUUCCUAAAUGCGCUUUAUGUUUAACAUGGUAGCAUAGUGCAAUGUACCAAUGUACUGGUUAGUUAGUUAAUAGACGAGUUGGCACCGCAGCCAAAGUGAUAGUUGCAUGGUAGCACUUGGCCCCGCCCACCUAGUAUGGGGCUCAUGUUCCACAGCAACAUCACCAAACUAUAGUGAACUUAAGAUUCAGGAAAACAGCACUGUGCUAUACAGAGACAAUAGGAUUAUUUGGGGCGGGGGGAGUGAGACACGGUGUCUCUGUGUAGCCCUGGAUGUCCUGGAACUUGCUCUGUAGACCAGGCUGGCCUUGAACUCAGCAAUCUGCCUGUCUCUGCCUACUGCGUGUUGGGAUUAAAGGUGUGUGCCACUCCUGUAAAGCUUUGGACCAGCUCUUAGCUGCCUUAAGCCUUAGUGCUGGCUUUUGGUUUUUGAUAGGAACUUCAUGCUCCUGUAAAUAGCUCCUCACCUAGGUUCCUGUAAGGAACCUCUCUCCACUGCUCCUGUAACCCUAACUAAACUCAUUGGUUCAACAAUGU
rnacentral:lncRNA from 1 species